UACGAAGGGGGCUAGCGUUGUUCGGAAUUACUGGGCGUAAAGGGCGCGUAGGCGGUCCCUCAAGUCAGGCGUGAAAGCCCCCGGGCUCAACCUGGGAACCGCGCUUGAGACUGAUGGGCUAGAGUUCGGGAGAGGAUGGUGGAAUUCCCAGUGUAGAGGUGAAAUUGUAGAUAUUGGGAAGAACACCGAUGGCGAGGCACCAUCUGGGACCGACACUGACGCUGAGGCGCGAAAGCGUGGGAGCAAG
rnacentral:rRNA from 1 species